GAUGAAGAACGUAGCGAAAUGCGAUACUUGGUGUGAAUUGCAGAAUCCCGCGAAUCAUCGAGUUUUUGAACGCAAGUUGCGCCCGAAGCCAUUCGGCCGAGGGCACGUCUGCCUGGGUGUCACGCAUCGUUGCCCCCCCAAACUCCGGUUCGGGCGGGGCGGAAGUUGGCCUCCCGUGCGUGCCUGCGCGCGCGGUUAGCCCAAAAGCGAGUCCUCGGCGAUGAGCGCCACGACAAUCGGUGGUUUUUUUACCCUCGUUCCUCGUCGUGCGUGCCCCGUCGCCCGAACGCGCUCUUGCAACCCUUACGCGUCGCAUCGGUGGCGCUCCCAACGCGACCCCAGGUCAGGCGGGACUACCCGCUGAGUUUAAGCAUAUCAAUAAGCGGAGGA
rnacentral:misc_RNA from 1 species